GCCCAGGUAAGGGUUAGGGUUCAAUAUUUGUGAAAUUUUCUGUUAACUAGGUUCAAUUCAUGAAUUUGGUGUUGUUUAGUGUCAAAUUAUGGUCCAGUAUGAAGAAUUUGGUGUUAAAUUGGUUCAAUUAGAUCAAUUUGCUGAUGUUUAGUGGUAAAAUAUGGUUCAAUUUGAUUAAUUUGCUGCUAAAUGGGUUCAAUUUGAUCAAAUUGCUGCUGCUUAGUGUGAAAUUAUGGUUCAAUUUGAUUAAUUUGCUGCUAGUUAUGGAUUUGUUUGAUGAAAUAUGAUUGAGUGUGAUCCCAACGAUUGUGUCGGUUGAUAUGAGCAAUGUGGGACCGGCCAUCGUGCCGGGUCAUUGAGAAGGGUCCGGCCAUCGUGCCGAGGGGGUAUAUAUGGGUGGGAGUUUUUUUUAUGCAGGUAUAAAAUUUAGGUAGACUGAUUUGUUAUUUUACAGCAAUGGUCAUGCCGAAUUUUUUUUGUUUUACAGCAUAAGUCAUGGCGAAUUUUUCCAUUUUUUCUAAAUUACUUUUACAAGUGUUGGAUAGAAACCUCAGGCUCGCGUUGAAGAGGUGCCUGAGCAGCCACCGGUUGUGGAGGGAGAAGUCCAAGAAGAAGCGGGGGCAUUUUCCUCGGGCUCAAAAAUUGCCAUGAGCGAUGGCUUCAAGCACGGCGAAGAAGGAGCCAAGGAGCAGUUGUUCCUUGAAGGAGCCGAGGAGCAGCUGCUCCUUGAAGGAGCAGCUAACGAGGAAAAGGCCCAGGGUGCGAUGUCUCAGGCUACGGUGUCG
rnacentral:lncRNA from 1 species